rnacentral:sRNA from 1 species
GCCAGGAGGGUCGCCGUUGCGAUGGG